rnacentral:rRNA from 1 species
UGGCGGACGGGUGAGUAACGCGUGGGUAACCUGCCCUGUACAGGGGGACAACAGUUAGAAAUGACUGCUAAUACCGCAUAAGCGCACAGGACCGCAUGGUCCGGUGUGAAAAACUCCGGUGGUACAGGAUGGACCCGCGUCUGAUUAGGUAGUUGGCGGGGUAACGGCCCACCAAGCCGACGAUCAGUAGCCGACCUGAGAGGGUGACCCGGCCACAUUGGGACUGAGACACGGCCCAAACUCCUACGGAAGGCAGCAG